CAGACCCUCCCUCCCAGACCCUCCCACCUACUGGACAGCUCACUAAGAAUGCAGCUUCAAAAUGGAUGCUGUCCAGGAGGUGGGAGGGUCUGGGAGGGAGGGUCUG